UACGUAGGGGGCGAGCGUUGUCCGGAAUUAUUGGGCGUAAAGAGCGUGUAGGCGGUUCGGUAAGUCUGCCGUGAAAACCUGAGGCUCAACCUCGGGCGUGCGGUGGAUACUGCCGGGCUAGAGGACGGUAGAGGCGAGUGGAAUUCCCGGUGUAGCGGUGAAAUGCGCAGAUAUCGGGAGGAACACCAGUAGCGAAGGCGGCUCGCUGG
rnacentral:rRNA from 1 species